UACGGGAGGCAGCAGUGGGGAAUAUUGCACAAUGGGCGCAAGCCUGAUGCAGCCAUGCCGCGUGUAUGAAGAAGGCCUUCGGGUUGUAAAGUACUUUCAGUCGUGAGGAAGGUGUUAAGGUUAAUAACCUUAGCAAUUGACGUUAGCGACAGAAGAAGCACCGGCUAACUCCGUGCCAGCAGCCGCGGUAAUACGGAGGGUGCGAGCGUUAAUCGGAAUUACUGGGCGUAAAGGGCACGCAGGCGGUUAAUUAAGUUGGAUGUGAAAUCCCCGGGCUUAACCUGGGAAUGGCAUUCAAGACUGGUUAGCUAGAGUCUUGUAGAGGGGGUAGAAUUCCAUGUGUAGCGGUGAAAUGCGUAGAGAUGUGGAGGAAUACCGGGUGGCGAAGGCGGCCCCGUGGGACAAAGGACUGACGCUCAUGUGCGAAAGCGUGGGGAGCGAAACAGGGAUUAGAUACC
rnacentral:rRNA from 1 species